rnacentral:misc_RNA from 1 species
GGACAAUAUCACAAUCUUAUGAGUAGUUUGAAUUAUAUAACAAUUAGAAUUUGCAUUAAAAUCUUUAGACUAGGGCAGCUCAAUAAAGUCUUACAAUCACAAAAAAUUGAGUUAUCUUAUAAAUUUUAAAAUAUAUAGAUUUGAUGAAAUCUAAUUUAAAGAAAAAAAAUGAAAGAUUCUUGGUUGAGUUUAAGGUAGAUUUUUA